GCGCCCUUAGCUCAGUUGGAUAGAGCAACGACCUUCUAAGUCGUGGGCCGCAGGUUCGAAUCCUGCUAGGGCGCGCCA
rnacentral:tRNA from 1 species